GCGUGUGUGAAGAAGGCCUUCGGGUUGUAAAGCACUUUCAGUUGUGAGGAAAGGUUGGUAGUUAAUACCUGCCAGCUGUGACGUUAACAACAGAAGAAGCACCGGCUAACUCCGUGCCAGCAGCCGCGGUAAUACGGAGGGUGCGAGCGUUAAUCGGAAUUACUGGGCGUAAAGCGCACGCAGGCGGUUUGUUAAGCUAGAUGUGAAAGCCCCGGGCUCAACCUGGGAUGGUCAUUUAGAACUGGCAGACUAGAGUCUUGGAGAGGGGAGUGGAAUUCCAGGUGUAGCGGUGAAAUGCGUAGAUAUCGGGAGGAACAUCAGUGGCGAAGGCGGCUCCCUGGCCAAAGACUGACGCUCAUGUGCGAAAGUGUGGGUAGCGAACAGGAUUAGAUACCCUGGUAGUCCACACCGUAAACGCUGUCUACUAGCUGUGUGUGAAUUUAAUUCGU
rnacentral:rRNA from 1 species